UGGUUUAACGGAAUCAUUUUAUUUUAUUCUGUUAGUUUUAACGGAGAGUUAACAUCCGUUAAUUAAUUUUAUAAUCAUAAAUACACACUAUUCAUCUUCCUCUCGAAUUUCUCUCUCAAACCCAAACCUAUAUUCUGCGAUUGGCCUUAUUAAAAUUCUACAAAGACAAUUGCUUCCAAUUGUCGUCAUUCUUCAACCUCAAAUCCAAACCCAUAUUGCUAUCGACAUGUAUUUGCGCCUCACCUAUUUUCUUUGAUCUUCUCGUUGUUUCACAACAUUUACGCUGUGAAUCGUCACCUCUUCUCCGCGAUUACAAACUUUUCUUCGAUUUAGAUGGUGAUGGCCACAUUACUGGCAAUGAUGCUUUGAAGUUCUUUGCUUUGUCAAAUUUGUCUCGGCAAGAUCUCAAGCAGGUUUUUAUUUUCUUUUUCGUAUUUUUUUUUGGGGUUGUUCAUGUUCUAAGGUUGUGACAUUUAAUAUGAAUUUAGUUAUUCUUAGUUAUUAUUUUUUUUGAAAAGGUUAUCAUUUUUAUUGUUCAGUUAAGCCUUUUAGCCGAAUUAAUAUAAUAAAUUAAAUAAUGAUUACAGUGCUUUCGAAAUGGUUGUUUCUUUUUAUUUAAACUUACAAUAGAAUGAAUGUUGAUACCAUGGUGUUAUUAAUUGAAAAAUAGCAAAUUUCAUAUUCUAUUGUUAUUUGUACUAUUGGGUUGAGAUAAUUCUUUCUACUCAAUAAUGGAAAAAUAGCUUGAUUUGUUAAUGUAGUCUCUAUUGGGUGUUUUACAAUUAUGUGGUUACAUUAUUGUUUUAUUUUGUGUUUGUGGAGUAUUUUCUUUCAAAAAAUGAAUUCAUGAAUGUAUUUCCUUGAAAUGACAUCCCUGAUUAUUUAUAGCUGGUUUCUUUGGUGCAAACUGGACUUGAAAUAACACAUAAUUUAUUGAAUAGCAACGGUAAGUUUUUCUAAAGGUGGUUUGUUGUCACUGUGUUUGUUGCUCCCUCUUCUGAUUAAAGUUGAGGAUACUUGCUGGCAAAAUUGAACCAAUAAUUACAAUUGCCACCACUGAGUAAAUCUGUCAAACCAUUUGAUUUACUUUUAAUUUUGUUUUGGAUUAAUUAUCUUUAAGAUAGUUAAGAGAUUGGAGUGAUGAUUCCAUAAUAUUCAAGCUCAACAGACCGGAAUGCAGGCUCCUCUUACUGGUUUAUAUUAGAGACAAAUGACACAUAGUUUUGAAAUUAUCUUGAAUGUAUUCUGUUUUUUAAGUUUUAAUUAUUGUUUUAUUUUUCUUAAAUAUUUUCAUUUUAAUUUUGUCUUGCAAGCACGGUCUAAGCUUCGGCAUAACAGUGCUGCAGUGCAAGUGCCUAUUAGAUUGGUAGAAGAUUUCAAGGGCCUUAUAGACCUUGUGCAGUUAAAAACUUACUACUUUCAUGGUACUAACGGGUAUGUUUUUGGAAGUUGAUAACUUGCAGAGCUAUUUCUUAAUAAGGAGCCUAUAUCUUCUACUGAUCUUGAGGAAGCAAUUCGCAUGGCAACCAUAACAUAGAAAUCCUUACCAAUAUUUAUGGGAAGUGCAUCCAAAACCAAGGUUGUGUUGAUUAAUUGCGGCCUUUCAUCCUUAUGGGUUUGAAAUAUAAUCAUCUUCCCUGCUUUGAUCUCUCCUUUUGUUCGCCAGUUGAAUUUCUUUCUGUCUCCAUUAUUUUACGUGAUUGAGAAAAUGUGUCAUGUCUUUUCUGUGUAAAAUGAUUAUUUCAAUUCUUAUUUAAUCAUCCUUCUUUCUUUUAGGCAUUCUCUAUUAUGUUGUCCAUCAUAGCAUAUGCAUUUGUUCACUAAUUUCAGGUUCCCCAUACUUUUAUAGUCUUUUUAAAUGUGAAUUUAUCAUUGGAAGGGAGUUGUAUUGGACUCGCAUUUUCUUUUAACUUUAGCUUUGGUUAUAGUGAGAUUUUUGGUUCAUGUCUUUUAUUUUGGACUCUUCUUUCACCCAAGAGUAUUUUAAAGCAACUAAGGCUUCAAUUUUUAUAUGGAUUCUAUUUAAACAUGAAUCUAGCCUUGUGGCCGAGCAUUGGUGUGAAAAGAGAGUAUACACCAAAAGAGAAGGAAGCUUAGGCUGCUGCUAUUGGUUACAAGGUGGUUGGACCGGUGGAGAGGUCCGAUCGAGUUUUCAAGCCUUACGAACCUAUUUUUGCCAUUGUUAGGUUCAAUCUGGUCUCUCUUAGUUAAUAUUUUGUAAUAAAGUUUGUGGUUGGGAGCUGUUAAAUUGGGUUUAGUGAUUGAAUGUGGUUUAUGUAGAUUGGUUCGCACCAGUUCAAAGUCAGCAAUGGAGACUGCAUUUUUACUGAAAGAUUGAAAUUUUGUGACAUUAACUAGAAGGAUGCCUAAAUGAUACGCUAGCAUGGACGACAGCGGAGAAAAUAGUGGACAGCGAGAUUUUUUUGUUAAUUAGUUAUAUUUAUUUAAAGUAGAGGUUAUAUAGGAGCAUUUUAGAAGAUUUGGUUAUUCAAUAACCACUUGAAAGGUAUGGCUCAUAUGUAAUUAUUAAUUAACACUAAAAGUAGUACUUUUAAAUAUUGAUGACCCUAUUUAUUUUGUUUAUUAACCUGAUUUGUAAA